UGGACAUCCUUGACCUUGAGAUAUUUUUUCACAGACACCUGCACCUGCAGAGAAAACCUGUGUCUACACUAUGACCAGCGGACAGUGGGAUGCCUUUAUUGACAGGAGAGUGGGAUUCUUACAGGAAGUGAGUGGGAGAGAGAGAUGGUGGAUGAUCGGAACAUUACCUCAGGCUGGAAUCAAACCAGAGUCCCUGCUGAAUCAAACCCAGGCCUACAAGAGGAGAGGGACACACACACGAAGGACAUCUUGGUCGAAUGUCAACUGUGAAUCAUCAGAUGAUUGAGAUGACUCAGUGCAAAGGAGAGGAGAGGACAGGAGAGCAAACUAAGUUGUGUGCCACCAGCCACCAGCCACCAACCACCAGGCAAAGAGGUGAAGCA